rnacentral:rRNA from 1 species
AACGAACGCUGGCGGCAGGCCUAACACAUGCAAGUCGAACGCCCUAGCAAUAGGGAGUGGCAGACGGGUGAGUAACGCGUGGGAACGUGCCCUUCAGUUCGGGAUAAGCCGAGGAAACUUGGUCUAAUACCGGAUACGUGCGAGAGCAGAAAGAUUUAUCGCUGAAGGAUCGGCCCGCGUCCGAUUAGCUAGUUGGUGAGGUAACGGCUCACCAAGGCGACGAUCGGUAGCUGGUCUGAGAGGAUGAUCAGCCACACUGGGACUGAGACACGGCCCAGACUCCUACGGGAGGCAGCAGUGGGGAAUAUUGGACAAUGGGAGCAAGCCUGAUCCAGCCAUGCCGCGUGAGUGAUGAAGGCCCUAGGGUUGUAAAGCUCUUUCGCCAGGGACGAUAAUGACGGUACCUGGAUAAGAAGCCCCGGCUAACUUCGUGCCAGCCGCCGCAGUAA